rnacentral:rRNA from 1 species
UACGUAGGGCGCGAGCGUUAAUCGGAAUUACUGGGCGUAAAGAGUGCGUAGGCGGUUCUUGAAGUCCGCUGUGAAAGCCCCGGGCUUAACCUGGGAAUGGCAGUGGAAACUGGAGGACUUGAAUUGAGCAGAGGGGGGUGGAAUGCCGCGUGUAGCAGUGAAAUGCGUAGAGAUGCGGCGGAACACCGAUGGCGAAGGCAGCCCCCUGGGCUUAAAUUGACGCUGAGGCACGAAAGCGUGGGGAGCAAACAGG